rnacentral:rRNA from 1 species
CGGAGGUCCCAAGCGUUGUUCGGAUUCACUGGGCGUAAAGGGUGCGUAGGUGGUGAGGUAAGUCGGAUGUGAAAUCUCCGGGCUCAACCCGGAAAUGGCAUUGGAAACUACCUUGCUGGAGGAUUUGAGGGGGGAUUGGAAUACUUGGUGUAGCAGUGAAAUGCGUAGAUAUCAAGUGGAACACCAGUGGCGAAGGCGAAUCCCUGGAAAAUACCUGACACUGAGGCACGAAAGCUAGGGGAGCAAACAGGAUUAGAUACCCUGGUAGUCCUAGCCCUAAACGGUGCUUGCUUGCUGUAAGAGGAAUCGACCCCUCUUGUGGCGGAGCUAACGCGUUAAGCAAGCCGCCUGGGAAGUACGGUCGCAAGAUUA